rnacentral:rRNA from 1 species
GAUGAACGCUGGCGGCGUGCCUAAUACAUGCAAGUCGAGCGAACGGCCGAGAAGCUUGCUUUUCUGAUGUUAGCGGCGGACGGGUGAGUAACACGUGGAUAACCUACCUAUAAGACUGGGAUAACUUCGGGAAACCGGAGCUAAUACCGGAUAAUAUUUUGAACCGCAUGGUUCAAAAGUGAAAGACGGUCUUGCUGUCACUUAUAGAUGGAUCCGCGCUGCAUUAGCUAGUUGGUAAGGUAACGGCUUACCAAGGCAACGAUGCAUAGCCGACCUGAGAGGGUGAUCGGCCACACUGGAACUGAGACACGGUCCAGACUCCUACGGGAGGCAGCAGUAGGGAAUCUUCCGCAAUGGGCGAAAGCCUGACGGAGCAACGCCGCGUGAGUGAUGAAGGUCUUCGGAUCGUAAAACUCUGUUAUUAGGGAAGAACAUAUGUGUAAGUAACUGUGCACAUCUUGACGGUACCUAAUCAGAAAGCCACGGCUAACUACGUG